GUGAGUUUAAAUCUUAUUUUGAAAAUCACGAAUUUCAUUAUUCCGAAUUCACAAAAGAUCGAAUUUCUGAAUACCGAAUUACUUUAUUUCCGAUCGGUCAAUGAUUUUUCGGAAUAGACAAAUUCGGGAAAAAUAUUUUCGGAUUUUUUCUAAAUCGGAAUUUUAAGCUUUCGUCCAUAUGAAAAUCGGAUUUUAAGUUUUCGGAAAUAACACAGUCGUGAUUUUGUUCUUUCGUGGUUUUCAAAGUCGUAAUUUCGAUAUUUCGGUCAUGUAAAAAAUCGGGAUUAUGAAAAUCGAGGUUAUGAAAGUCGGAAAAACGUAUUUCGGAAUAUUUGGGUGUUCCCGUGGUAUAGGGAUUAACCUAGCCCCAAACUAAGCAAAGCUUGUACUAUGGGUGCUAGGCGACGAUAUACAUACUUAUAUAGAUAAAUACAUACUUACAUACAUAGAUAACAC